rnacentral:rRNA from 1 species
GAGAGCUUGCUCUCGGGUGACGAGUGGCGGACGGGUGAGUAAUGUCUGGGAAACUGCCUGAUGGAGGGGGAUAACUACUGGAAACGGUAGCUAAUACCGCAUAACGUCGCAAGACCAAAGAGGGGGACCUUCGGGCCUCUUGCCAUCAGAUGUGCCCAGAUGGGAUUAGCUAGUAGGUGGGGUAAUGGCUCACCUAGGCGACGAUCCCUAGCUGGUCUGAGAGGAUGACCAGCCACACUGGAACUGAGACACGGUCCAGACUCCUACGGGAGGCAGCAGUGGGGAAUAUUGCACAAUGGGCGCAAGCCUGAUGCAGCCAUGCCGCGUGUAUGAAGAAGGCCUUCGGGUUGUAAAGUACUUUCAGCGGGGAGGAAGGUGUUGUGGUUAAUAACCGCAGCAAUUGACGUUACCCGCAGAAGAAGCACCGGCUAACUCCGUGCCAGCAGCCGCGGUAAUACGGAGGGUGCAAGCGUUAAUCGGAAUUACUGGGCGUAAAGCGCACGCAGGCGGUCUGUCAAGUCGGAUGUGAAAUCCCCGGGCUCAACCUGGGAACUGCAUUCGAAACUGGCAGGCUAGAGUCUUGUAGAGGGGGGUAGAAUUCCAGGUGUAGCGGUGAAAUGCGUAGAGAUCUGGAGGAAUACCGGUGGCGAAGGCGGCCCCCUGGACAAAGACUGACGCUCAGGUGCGAAAGCGUGGGGGAGCAAACAGGAUUAGAUACCCUGGUAGUCCACGCCGUAAACGAUGUCGACUUGGAGGUUGUGCCCUUGAGGCGUGGCUUCCGGAGCUAACGCGUUAAGUCGACCGCCUGGGGAGUACGGCCGCAAGGUUAAAACUCAAAUGAAUUGACGGGGGCCCGCACAAGCGGUGGAGCAUGUGGUUUAAUUCGAUGCAACGCGAAGAACCUUACCUACUCUUGACAUCCAGAGAACUUUCCAGAGAUGGAUUGGUGCCUUCGGGAACUCUGAGACAGGUGCUGCAUGGCUGUCGUCAGCUCGUGUUGUGAAAUGUUGGGUUAAGUCCCGCAACGAGCGCAACCCUUAUCCUUUGUUGCCAGCGGUUAGGCCGGGAACUCAAAGGAGACUGCCAGUGAUAAACUGGAGGAAGGUGGGGAUGACGUCAAGUCAUCAUGGCCCUUACGAGUAGGGCUACACACGUGCUACAAUGGCGCAUACAAAGAGAAGCGACCUCGCGAGAGCAAGCGGACCUCAUAAAGUGCGUCGUAGUCCGGAUUGGAGUCUGCAACUCGACUCCAUGAAGUCGGAAUCGCUAGUAAUCGUAGAUCAGAAUGCUACGGUGAAUACGUUCCCGGGCCUUGUACACACCGCCCGUCACACCAUGGGAGUGGGUUGCAAAAGAAGUA